GCAGCAUCUUGUUAAGAAGAGUAUCAAUUGGAUAUUGUUUCAAUCAUCAUGAAGUUAAUCGGUGCUUUUUUGUUGUUUGUGGUUCUUGUGCUGACUGUAGAAGAAGCACAUUCUGCUGCUGCUACAAUGGCCUUAACUUGCGCUGAAUGCACGAGACAGGGAGCAACGAGUUGUGUGACACUCACAGGAUCAAACAGAGGAUAUAUUGGAUGCAAUGGAGUGACUAAAAUAACUGAUUGCACUACUUGUGGAAAGUUUGCACUUCCCUACGCUUCAAACUGCAUUGUGACGAAUCCAAUAAUUUGUAGAAUUAUGCAUUGAUAUUCCAUUGGAUUCGAGAAUCUCGGGAGAAACAAUUGGGAAACCUCUAGGAUUCGAAAAAUAACUAACAAUUUUUUGCAAAUAACAUAAAAUA